GUUGUAUAGUCAAGUAAUUAAGUGCAUGUGGUGGAUGCCUUGGCAGUCAGAGGCGAUGAAAGACGUGAUAGCCUGCGAAAAGCUCCGGGGAGGCGGCAAAUAUCCUUUGAUCCGGAGAUGUCUGAAUGGGGGAACCCACCUACUUUAAGGUAGGUAUUGCAACAUGAAUACAUAGUGUUGCAAGGCGAACGAGGGGAAGUGAAACAUCUCAGUACCCUUAGGAAAAGAAAUCAAUUGAGAUUCCCUCAGUAGCGGCGAGCGAACGGGGAUCAGCCCAUUAAGUUAUGUGUGUUUUAGUGGAACGCUCUGGGAAGUGCGAACGUAGAGGGUGAUAUUCCCGUACACGAAAGGGCACACAUAAUGAUGACGAGUAGGGCGAGGCACGUGAAACCUUGUCUGAAUAUGGGGGGACCAUCCUCCAAGGCUAAAUACUCCUGACUGACCGAUAGUGAACCAGUACCGUGAGGGAAAGGCGAAAAGAACCCCUGUGAGGGGAGUGAAAUAGAUCCUGAAACCGCAUGCAUACAAGCAGUGGGAGCACCUUCGUGGUGUGACUGCGUACCUUUUGUAUAAUGGGUCAGCGACUUAUAUUCAGUAGCGAGGUUAACCGUAUAGGGGAGCCGUAGAGAAAUCGAGUCUUAAUAGGGCGUUUAGUUGCUGGGUAUAGACCCGAAACCAGGCGAUCUAUCCAUGAGCAGGUUGAAGGUUGGGUAACACUAACUGGAGGACCGAACCCACUGUCGUUGAAAAGCCAGGGGAUGACUUGUGGAUAGGGGUGAAAGGCUAAUCAAGCCUGGUGAUAGCUGGUUCUCCCCGAAAGCUAUUUAGGUAGCGCCUCGGACGAAUACCAUAGGGGGUAGAGCACUGUUUCGGCUAGGGGGUCAUCCCGACUUACCAAACCGAUGCAAACUCCGAAUACCUAUGAGUACUAUCCGGGAGACAGACUGCGGGUGCUAACGUCCGUAGUCAAGAGGAAAACAAUCCAGACCGCCAGCUAAGGCCCCAAAAUCAUAGUUAAGUGGGAAACGAUGUGGGAAGGCAUAGACAGCUAGGAGGUUGGCUUAGAAGCAGCCACCCUUUAAAGAAAGCGUAAUAGCUCACUAGUCGAGUCGGCCUGCGCGGAAGAUGUAACGGGGCUAAAACUAUGUGCCGAAGCUGCGGAUNNNNNNNNNNNNNNNNNNAUGCUGGAGGUAUCAGAAGUGCGAAUGCUGACGUGAGUAACGACAAAACGGGUGAAAAACCCGUUCGCCGAAAGACCAAGGGUUCCAGUCCAACGUUAAUCGGGGCUGGGUGAGUCGACCCCUAAGGCGAGGCCGAAAGGCGUAGUCGAUGGGAAAAUGGUUAAUAUUCCAUUACUUCUGUGUAAUGCGAUGAGAGGACGGAGAAGGCUAAAUCAGCCUGGCGUUGGUUGUCCAGGUGAAAGGAUGUAGGCAUGUAUCUUAGGCAAAUCCGGGGUACUCUAUGCUGAGAUCUGAUAGCAAGCUGUACUUGUACAGCGAAGUGGUUGAUGCCAUGCUUCCAGGAAAAGUCUCUAAGCUUCAGUUACACAGGAAUCGUACCCGAAACCGACACAGGUGGUCAGGUCGAGUAGACCAAGGCGCUUGAGAGAACUCUGCUGAAGGAACUAGGCAAAAUGGUACCGUAACUUCGGGAGAAGGUACGCUGUUGUUGGUGAUGGAACUCGCUUCCUGAGCUGACGACAGCCGCAGAAACCAGGCCGCUGCAACUGUUUAUUAAAAACAUAGCACUCUGCAAACACGAAAGUGGACGUAUAGGGUGUGAUGCCUGCCCGGUGCUGGAAGGUUAAUUGAUGGGGUUAGCGUAAGCGAAGCUCUUGAUCGAAGCCCCAGUAAACGGCGGCCGUAACUAUAACGGUCCUAAGGUAGCGAAAUUCCUUGUCGGGUAAGUUCCGACCUGCACGAAUGGCAUAAUGAUGGCGGCGCUGUCUCCAGCAGAGGCUCAGUGAAAUCGAAAUCGCUGUGAAGAUGCAGUGUACCCGCGGCUAGACGGAAAGACCCCGUGAACCUUUACUGCAGCUUGACACUGAACUUUGACCUUACUUGUGUAGGAUAGGUGGGAGGCUUUGAAGCUGGAACGCUAGUUCCAGUGGAGCCGUCCUUGAAAUACCACCCUGGUAAUGUUGAGGUUCUAACUCUGUCCCGUGAUCCGGGACGAGGACCGUGUCUGGUGGGUAGUUUGACUGGGGCGGUCUCCUCCUAAAGAGUAACGGAGGAGUACGAAGGUGCGCUCAGCGUGGUCGGAAAUCACGCGUAGAGUAUAAAGGCAAAAGCGCGCUUAACUGCGAGACCCACAAGUCGAGCAGGUACGAAAGUAGGUCUUAGUGAUCCGGUGGUUCUGUAUGGAAGGGCCAUCGCUCAACGGAUAAAAGGUACUCUGGGGAUAACAGGCUGAUACCGCCCAAGAGUUCAUAUCGACGGCGGUGUUUGGCACCUCGAUGUCGGCUCAUCUCAUCCUGGGGCUGAAGCAGGUCCCAAGGGUAUGGCUGUUCGCCAUUUAAAGAGGUACGCGAGCUGGGUUUAGAACGUCGUGAGACAGUUCGGUCCCUAUCUACCGUGGGCGCUGGAAAUUUGAGAGGAUCUGCUCCUAGUACGAGAGGACCAGAGUGGACGAACCUCUGGUGUACCGGUUGUGACGCCAGUCGCAUCGCCGGGUAGCUAUGUUCGGAAGGGAUAACCGCUGAAAGCAUCUAAGCGGGAAGCCUACCUCAAGAUAAGAUUUCCCUAGGACUUUAUGUCCUCUAAAGAGCCGUUCGAGACUAGGACGUUGAUAGGUUGGAUGUGGAAGCAUAGUGAUAUGUGAAGCUGACCAAUACUAAUUGCUCGUGAGGCUUGACUAUACAACACCCAAGCAGUUG
rnacentral:rRNA from 1 species